AUCCUCCCAGGGUCACACCUGGAGAAUUUCCUGUAUUCUACCAACCUCGACGGCAGGAGGGAGAGUCAAGCAGAGACACACCCCUUCCAAUCCUAGCUUGGGCCGUGGCUAGAGAGUGGAAGGCGAUUUGCAACAAGU
rfam:Ornithorhynchus anatinus chromosome 10, whole genome shotgun sequence.